rnacentral:lncRNA from 1 species
CUCAUGACAUUUUAUAGUCCUUUUCAUAUGUUCUCAAUGUAAGGAUGCCAAAUGAGCACAUGUCAUCAUUAAAUGCGUUUCCAACCUCUUCCAGACCUGCGAGGGGGGCCCAUCCUUCCAGCGUUACUCCAGUUUUCAGUGGGAACUGAAACGAAGAGCCCUCAAACUGUUCCAGCAGGCAGCCCGCAAGAUUGUGAUUCGAUGCCGCGUGAACCAGAGACUGAGCUGCUUGAAGAAACUCUCAGACAGUAUGAAGAAGUCGCCCAUGGCAAAGAAAGUUGAGGAGGACACGACUUGUGAUCUGAACAUCUCGCCUGACACAGUCUUUCCAUUUUCUUUCCCCGUUUUCUCCGAAGAAGAUGACCCACUGGCUCACAGCAUUUUGCCCGUGGAUCCCGUCGACGAGACUUUGACAACACAUAUUCCUUUCUUCAAGCUCCAGGUUCCCCAGCACUAUAAGCUUAUGGGCUACCAACCUGUGUCCGCCUGGGAGGCAUUUAACUCCUAUAUUCCCACUUCUCUGGCCAGACCACUUCGCUCUGGAGCCCCGGUAAUGCAGCACACUAAAACAUAUUAUAACAAGAUAUUUAUUCAUUUAUUUCCUCACUCAUCAUCCUCUCUUUUAUAA